rnacentral:rRNA from 1 species
UACGGGGGGAGCAAGCGUUGUUCGGAUUUACUGGGCGUAAAGGGCGCGUAGGCGGCCACUGCAAGUCAGUUGUGAAAUCUCCGGGCUUAACCCGGAAAGGUCAACUGAUACUGCAGGGCUAGAGUGCAGAAGGGGCAACUGGAAUUCUCGGUGUAGCGGUGAAAUGCGUAGAUAUCGAGAGGAACACCUGCGGCGAAGGCGGGUUGCUGGGCUGACACUGACGCUGAGGCGCGAAAGCCAGGGGAGCGAGCGGG